AGUGAACGCUGGCGGUAGGCCUAACACAUGCAAGUCGAACGGCAGCACAGUAAGAGCUUGCUCUUACGGGUGGCGAGUGGCGGACGGGUGAGGAAUACAUCGCAAUCUACUUUUUCGUGGGGGAUAACGUAGGGAAACUUACGCUACUACCGCAUACGACCUACGGGUGAAAGCAGGGGAUCUUCGGACCUUGCGCGAUUGAAUGAGCCGAUGUCGGAUUAGCUAGUUGGCGGGGUAAAGGCCCACCAAGGCGACGAUCCGUAGCUGGUCUGAGAGGAUGAUCAGCCACACUGGAACUGAGACACGGUCCAGACUCCUACGGGAGGCAGCAGUAGGGAAUAUUGGGCAAUGGGCGCAAGCCUGAUCCAGCCAUACCGCGUGAGUGAAGAAGGCCUUCGGAUUGUAAAGCCCUUUUGUUAGGAAAGAAAAGCAGCAGGUGAAUACCCCGCUGUUCUGACGGUACCCAAAGAAUAAGCACCGGCUAACUUCGUG
rnacentral:rRNA from 1 species